ensembl:lncRNA
UGCCCACAAACUUCGGUUAAGACAGAAAAACAAGCUAAUUUGCUGGAACGGAAGGCUGACCUGCAGAUCUGGUGUGGGUUUGUUUCAUUUCUUGGACUAUAUUUUUGUUGUUUUUCUUCACUGCUGUACACCCUCUGCUUGAGCAAUCGCCUGUGUUACUGUGACUUCCCUAACGCCAUCUGCCAUCUCAUAUCCCCUCCCUGGGACGUCCUUCUAAACUCCAGGCUUGCGUCUGCAACUUCCCACUUGACGUCCGUCCUCAAAUCCGUCACCAUCAUCUCAAAGGCACUGUCUCUCAGCUUGAACGUUUGAACUCCGCUGCUGCUUCCCCCAAUUCCCAGCAUUUGCCGCUGCAAUUAGUGGCACAUUUAUUUUCACGGACAUAUUUAGACAAGGUCUAACAGAUCCCAAGCUGGCCCCAAACUGAGAAUGACCUUAAACUCCAGAUUCUCCAGCCACCACCUUCCUACCACUGAGAUUACAGUGGUCAUCGCUGUCCUGACUGCAGUGGCCAUCACUCGCCUGCCUGCAUUGAUCAUCACUCGCCUGCCUGCAGUGAUCCAGCAUAGAUCCAUCCCUCCUAUACUAGAUCCUGGAAGGGGCAGCUCUGCUUUUCAACAGGUUGCAAUGUCCAGGAACUAUUGUACUCUUAACUACACAGGCUCCUAGGAGGGAAUAUUCAAGGACAAAGCUAGAGGAUCACCUUUAUUGACUCUAGCUAUAAUAUAUUUGACAAUAACUAAAGCAGAAAUGAAAAGAUACAAACAGAGCAUCCAAG